AGAGUUUGAUCAUGGCUCAGGACGAACGCUGGCGGCAGGCUUAACACAUGCAAAGUCGAACGCGUGUAGCAAUACACGAGUGGCGCACGGGUGAGUAACACGUGGAUUAUCUGCCUUUUGGUUCGGAAUAACCCCGGGAAACUGGGGCUAAUACCGAAUGGUUCCUACGGGAUAAAGAUUUAUCGCCAAAAGAUGAGUCCGCGCCCGAUUAGCUAGUUGGCGGGGUAACGGCCCACCAAGGCAACGAUCGGUAGCUGGUCUGAGAGGACGAUCAGCCACACUGGGACUGAGACACGGCCCAGACUCCUACGGGAGGCAGCAGUGGGGAAUAUUGGACAAUGGGGGCAACCCUGAUCCAGCCAUGCCGCGUGAGUGAUGAAGGCCUUCGGGUUGUAAAGCUCUUUUGGCGGGGACGAUGAUGACGGUACCCGCAGAAUAAGCCCCGGCUAACUUCGUGCCAGCAGCCGCGGUAAGACGAAGGGGGCUAGCGUUGUUCGGAAUUACUGGGCGUAAAGCGCGUGUAGGCGGUUGCCAAAGUCGGGUGUGAAAGCCUUGAGCUUAACUCAAGAAAUGCACUCGAUACUUGGUGACUAGAGGACCGGAGAGGAUAGUGGAAUUCCCAGUGUAGUGGUGAAAUACGUAGAGAUUGGGAAGAACACCAGUGGCGAAGGCGGCUAUCUGGACGGUUUCUGACGCUAAGACGCGAAAGCGUGGGGAGCAAACAGGAUUAGAUACCCUAGUAGUCC
rnacentral:rRNA from 1 species